rnacentral:rRNA from 1 species
GAUGAACGCUAGCGGCAGGCCUAACACAUGCAAGUCGAGGGGUAUCCCGCUUUCGGGCGGGAGAGACCGGCGCACGGGUGCGUAACGCGUAUGCAACCUACCCUGUACUGAGGGAUAGCCCGGAGAAAUUCGGAUUAACACCUCAUAGUACUAAUGACUGGCAUCAUUUAUUAGUUAAAGGUUACGGGACAGGACGGGCAUGCGUCCUAUUAACUAGAUGGUAAGGUAACGGCUUACCAUGGCUACGAUAGGUAGGGGGCCUGAGAGGGUGGGCCCCCACACUGGUACUGAGACACGGACCAGACUCCUACGGGAGGCAGCAGUGAGGAAUAUUGGUCAAUGGGCGCAAGCCUGAACCAGCCAUGCCGCGUGCAGGAAGACGGUCCUAUGGAUUGUAAACUGCUUUUAUUUGGGAAUAAACCUCUUUACGUGUAGAGAGCUGAAGGUACCAAAUGAAUAAGCACCGGCUAACUCCGUGCCAGCAGCCGCCGUAA